GGUCCGCUGGCCCAAUGGCAAGGCGUCUGACUACGAUUACUUCGUAAUUUGAUCAGGAGAUUGUCGGUUCGAUCCCGGCGUGGAUCA
rnacentral:tRNA from 1 species